rnacentral:snRNA from 13 species
UUCGGAAGGGCUGAGACCUGCCACUCUCCCAAACUGGGAAAGAUGGGGCAUGUAAUUUUUGGUAGUGGGGGUCUGCGUUCGCGCAACCCCCUC